GAAGAGUUUGAUCAUGGCUCAGAUUGAACGCUGGCGGCAGGCCUAACACAUGCAAGUCGAACGGUAACAGGAAGCAGCUUGCUGCUUUGCUGACGAGUGGCGGACGGGUGAGUAAUGUCUGGGAAACUGCCUGAUGGAGGGGGAUAACUACUGGAAACGGUGGCUAAUACCGCAUAACGUCGCAAGACCAAAGAGGGGGACCUUCGGGCCUCUUGCCAUCAGAUGUGCCCAGAUGGGAUUAGCUUGUUGGUGAGGUAACGGCUCACCAAGGCGACGAUCCCUAGCUGGUCUGAGAGGAUGACCAGCCACACUGGAACUGAGACACGGUCCAGACUCCUACGGGAGGCAGCAGUGGGGAAUAUUGCACAAUGGGCGCAAGCCUGAUGCAGCCAUGCCGCGUGUAUGAAGAAGGCCUUCGGGUUGUAAAGUACUUUCAGCGGGGAGGAAGGUGUUGUGGUUAAUAACCGCAGCAAUUGACGUUACCCGCAGAAGAAGCACCGGCUAACUCCGUGCCAGCAGCCGCGGUAAUACGGAGGGUGCAAGCGUUAAUCGGAAUUACUGGGCGUAAAGCGCACGCAGGCGGUCUGUCAAGUCGGAUGUGAAAUCCCCGGGCUCAACCUGGGAACUGCAUUCGAAACUGGCAGGCUUGAGUCUUGUAGAGGGGGGUAGAAUUCCAGGUGUAGCGGUGAAAUGCGUAGAGAUCUGGAGGAAUACCGGUGGCGAAGGCGGCCCCCUGGACAAAGACUGACGCUCAGGUGCGAAAGCGUGGGGAGCAAACAGGAUUAGAUACCCUGGUAGUCCACGCCGUAAACGAUGUCUACUUGGAGGUUGUGCCCUUGAGGCGUGGCUUCCGGAGCUAACGCGUUAAGUAGACCGCCUGGGGAGUACGGCCGCAAGGUUAAAACUCAAAUGAAUUGACGGGGGCCCGCACAAGCGGUGGAGCAUGUGGUUUAAUUCGAUGCAACGCGAAGAACCUUACCUGGUCUUGACAUCCACAGAACAUUCCAGAGAUGGAUUGGUGCCUUCGGGAACUGUGAGACAGGUGCUGCAUGGCUGUCGUCAGCUCGUGUUGUGAAAUGUUGGGUUAAGUCCCGCAACGAGCGCAACCCUUAUCCUUUGUUGCCAGCGGUCCGGCCGGGAACUCAAAGGAGACUGCCAGUGAUAAACUGGAGGAAGGUGGGGAUGACGUCAAGUCAUCAUGGCCCUUACGACCAGGGCUACACACGUGCUACAAUGGCGCAUACAAAGAGAAGCGACCUCGCGAGAGCAAGCGGACCUCAUAAAGUGCGUCGUAGUCCGGAUUGGAGUCUGCAACUCGACUCCAUGAAGUCGGAAUCGCUAGUAAUCGUGGAUCAGAAUGCCACGGUGAAUACGUUCCCGGGCCUUGUACACACCGCCCGUCACACCAUGGGAGUGGGUUGCAAAAGAAGUAGGUAGCUUAACCUUCGGGAGGGCGCUUACCACUUUGUGAUUCAUGACUGGGGUGAAGUCGUAACAAGGUAACCGUAGGGGAACCUGCGGUUGGAUCACCUCCUUACCUUAAAGAAGC
rnacentral:rRNA from 1 species